CACUAAGAAGCUUCCGCACAAGCACUAGCCUUUUAAGCUAGCGAGGGGCACGAGCCCCUUAGUGAU
rnacentral:tRNA from 1 species